rnacentral:misc_RNA from 1 species
UGGACUACUAGGGUUUCUAAUCCUGUUUGAUCCCCACACUUUCGAGCCUCAGUGUCAGUUACAGUUUCGUUAGCUGCCUUCGCAAUCGGUGUUCUAUGGCAUCUCUAUGUAUUUCACCACUACAUGUCAUAUUCCGCCAACGGCAACUGUACUCAAGUCCUACAGUAUCAAUGGCAAUUUCGCAGUUAAGCUGCGAGAUUUCACCACUGACUUAUAAGACCACCUACGCUCCCUUUAAACCCAAUGAAUCCGGAUAACGCUUGCACCCUCCGUAUUACCGCGGCGGCUGGCACAA